rnacentral:rRNA from 1 species
AUGGCUCACCACGGCACCACCGUGUCAGUCCUCGCGCUCCUCCUCGCCGCGGCGACGCUCUCCACCGCCGCCGCGUUACACGGCGGCGCGCCACCCAGGGUGCUGUGGACCAAGGGCCUCCCGGCCGACCCGUUCUGCCCGUGGGAGGCCGUCAAGUUCGGCGCGUGCGCGGCCGUGCUCGGCCUCGCGGACGCGCAGGCCGGCGCGCAGCUCGGAAGCGAGUGCUGCCAGCUCGUGGGCGGGCUCGCCGCGGCGGAGGCGGCCUCGUGCCUCUGCAUCGCCGCCAAGGAAGGCGUGCUCGGCCUUGUCUCCGCCGAGUGGUCCGUCGGCGUCGAGCUCCUCGCCAGCGCCUGCAAGAAGGAGAUCCCCGACGGCUUCAAGUGCGUGUGA